UACGUAGGGGGCAAGCGUUGUCCGGAAUCAUUGGGCGUAAAGCGCGUGUAGGCGGCCCGAUAAGUCCGCUGUGAAAGUCCAGGGCUCAACCCUGGGAUGCCGGUGGAUACUGUCGGGCUCGAGUCCGGAAGAGGCGAGUGGAAUUCCUGGUGUAGCGGUGAAAUGCGCAGAUAUCAGGAGGAAAACCAAGGGCGAAGGCAGCUCGCUGGGACGUGACUGACGCUGAGACGCGAAAGGGUGGGGAGCAAACAGG
rnacentral:rRNA from 1 species